GAGUUUCUCUGUGUUGGUUCCUGUAUCACUUAGACUUUAGCCAGUCCUCUAAUCACUUCUUCUGAUGCCUGAAGGAGCUUCCAAGAAGAGGCUGAAAUUGUUGGGGUUAUUGGGAGUGGAAGAAUAGUAUGGUGAAAGAAGUAGAGUCUCCAACUUUGAGGGGUUCAAACAGUAGGAAGAAGGAACCAUAGGAAUCCAACAACAGGAAUCCAGACCAAGUUUUUCAGUCAACACAGCAUCAAUGCCCCAAGGAGAAAGGAGUGAUUUUUGGCAGAGAACUCAGGGACCCAGCCCAGCAGAAGGACUCACCUGUCAGUCAGGCCACAUCUAGACAUGAACUUGAUUGUGUUGGGACAUUGAGCCUUUGCCCAGUUGCCUCAUGACAACUCCAAGCUCAUGGCAGCUAGAGCAACAUGUCCUGCCUGGCCACGUCUGAGAUUUGAUCUCAAAGUCCCAGUUGCCUUUACCUGAUGGUGGUAACUGAGCAACAAUUCUGAGGUGGACAUUUCCAGCCUGGGAGGCCACCUUGUAAGAUGGAAAGAUGCAGGGAUCCUGGAUCUUCAGUUGGUACCAACUGUACCUGUAGAUGCUCUCUCUAUAUCCAAUAUGGCAUUUUUGGAGAAGACAACGACCAUCAGGAGAAUGAAUCUGCACCUUGAUUUGGCUUUCUGGAAGACACGGAUCUGAAGGGAGCUAGUUGGACAGUGCAGAACCAAGAUGAAAUAUAAAAUGCCUAUUUGGCACUUCUGUAAGCCCCAUCACAUUACGAUAUUUUAAAUAUCAACAACCUGGGAGAACAUCAAAAUCAUUCUAAGUUACUGCUUCUUGUUUAAGCUUUCUGUCGGUCUUGUAUAUGUUAAGCAUUUCUUUUAUGUAGAGGAAAUAAA